rnacentral:rRNA from 1 species
UGCUAGUCGUACGGGCUCAGACCCGUGGCAGAUAGCUCAGUAACACGUGGUCAAACUGCCCUACAGAUCGUGAUAACCUCGGGAAACUGAGGCUAAUCGCGAAUAUAGCUCUCAGGUUGGACGAGCAGAGAGCUAGAAACGCUCCGGCGCUGUAGGAUGUGACUGCGGCCGAUUAGGUAGACGGUGGGGUAAUGGCCCACCGUGCCGAUAAUCGGUACGGGUUGUGAGAGCAAGAACCCGGAGACGGUAUCUGAGACAAGAUACCGGGCCCUACGGGGCGCAGCAGGCGCGAAACCUUUACACUGCACGACAGUGCGAUAGGGGGACUCCGAGUGCGAGGGCAUAUAGUCCUCGCUUUUCUGUACCGUAAGGUGGUACAGGAACAAGUGCUGGGCAAGACCGGUGCCAGCCGCCGCGGUAAUACCGGCAGCACGAGUGAUGGCCGCUUUUAUUGGGCCUAAAGCGUUCGUAGCCGGCCACUCAAGUCCGUCGGGAAAUCCAGUGGCUUAACCACUGGACGUCCGGCGGAAACUGACUGGCUUGGGGCCGGAAGAUCCAAGGGGUACGUCCGGGGUAGGAGUGAAAUCCCGUAAUCCUGGACGGACCACCGAUGGCGAAAGCACCUUGGAAAGACGGACCCGACGGUGAGGGACGAAAGCUAGGGUCUCGAACCGGAUUAGAUACCCGGGUAGUCCUAGCCGUAAACGAUGCUCGCUAGGU